rnacentral:tRNA from 1 species
GCGAAUAUAGCUUAGGUGGUCAAAGCAUUAGUCUGUGGAACUAAAUAGAUGGGUUCGAGUCCCGUUAUUCGCC